CCCUAUUUAGCCCCAUGCCCCCCUUAAACCUUAUAACACCAACUAAAACAUUCACCAUACUUUAGUAAAGGCGAUUGAAAAACUAAUUAGAGCCAUAACAAUAGUACCGCAAGGGAAAGAUGAAAUAAAAAUGAAAUAAAUAUUAAGCAAAAAAAAGCAGAGAUAUACCCUCGUACCUUUUGCA
rnacentral:rRNA from 1 species